rnacentral:tRNA from 1 species
GAGAGUAUCGCUCAGUGGUAGAGUGCAUGCUUAGCAUGCACGAGAUCCUGGGUUCGAUUCCUAGUACUUACA